rnacentral:rRNA from 1 species
UACGUAGGGUGCAAGCGUUGUCCGGAAUUAUUGGGCGUAAAGGGCUCGUAGGCGGUCCAUCGCGUCGGGAGUGAAAAGCUGGGGCUUAACCCCAGUCCUGCUUCCGAUACGGGUGGACUAGAGGUAGGCAGGGGAGAACGGAAUUCCUGGUGUAGCGGUGAAAUGCGCAGAUAUCGGGAGGAACACCAAUGGCGAAGGCAGCUCGCUGGGACGGUACUGACGCUGAGACGCGAAAGCGUGGGGAGCAAACAGG